AUAACCUUAUCACGUGAAUUUCGAUGUUUCUUGUCAUUCCUCUCAUGAUUAUCAUUCUUGAGUUCAGAUUCAUCGUCAGGCAAUAAAGAAUCCACGAGGUCUUCGCCAAAAUCAUCCACAGCAUCGCCACCUUGACUAUAACCAGGGCCAUUCUCCCUCCUCUUAUCGCGCCCCAAAUGCCUUUCUCGUGGCAUUUGGGUAGUAGGGGAAGAUAAGCCCCUAGGACCAAAAUCCAUAGGAGCCCUCCUUGAUGAAGAAUUCAUGCUUGGACCUCUGGCGAGCCUACUAGCUUGUGCUUGCCGUUCUUGAGCAGCAUCUCUGUGCACUUCCUCGAUCUUUUUCGGCCCUUCAACUUUCCUCGUCUGCUGCCAUUUAUUCUUUCUCAACUCAAUUGAAUCCUUCAACAUAAGCCUAACCCUAGAAGAUAGUUUCAUGUUGUUUGACAACUUUUCCAUUCUGUCAAAAUAAGCAUCCAUAUGCUCUUUGGCCUUGGGGUGAUCGAUCAUCUCUCCUAUUGUGCUCAUUAAUAUACACAACGCCUCAACAUCCUCCUCGUCAGGAUUCUCAUACUGGCCCAGCAACUUCUUGAUGCAUUCAUGCAUUAUUCUCUCAGUCAACAUUUUCUUCUUGUACAACUCACCAAUUAGUCUAAUGUUGCCUAGCAUUCGUCUUCGAGCCUUGAUUCUCUUCUCUUCUCUUUCUUCCUCGGUCUGCUUAAUCUCCCCCUCUUUAUCAGCUUUGUUAGCUUCUUCUUGCUCUCUCUCUCCUCUCUCAAAUUCCUCUUGGCAUUUGUUCAGAAGCAGUCUCUUGAAAGUAAUUUUUUCAUUGUCUUCACUGAAAUCAGGUAACUUUCCAGCAAGAAAAUAAAAGAAGUUUGCAUACAUCUCACAGAAAGUAGGCUCCAUUAAAGCUUUGUCAAAAAUUUGAGAGACCACACGAGUGAGUGUAACAGCAUUGUCGAUGUUUACUGCUUUUACUUGCUCAAAGAGUUUCUUGAAGUUUGGAGCAUUUAGUCUUCCUAUGUCACCACGACAUUCAAUAUGCAAUUUUAAGUUUCUCAUCCUCUUGCUAAGCCGUCUUUUCCCUCUGUUAUCUGAUCUGAUUUCCUGAUAAUAAAAAGCACAGGCAAAUCACACAGUUUAUCCACUAACCCACUAACAGUAAAUGUUUUAUCACUAAAGAAUUCCAAUCAAAUCAUGUAAAUGUAAGUGUCGCUAAUAUAAUGAUUAGUUCAUGGAAGUGUAUAAUCGCUACUACAAAAGAGAGAUAACCUUAUCACGUGAAUUUCGAUGUUUCUUGUCAUUCCUCUCAUGAUUAUCAUUCUUGAGUUCAGAUUCAUCGUCAGGCAAUAAAGAAUCCACGAGGUCUUCGCCAAAAUCAUCCACAUCAUCGCCACCUUGAUUAUAACCAGGGCCAUUCUCCCUCCUCUUAUCGCGCCCCAAAUGCCUUUCUCGUGGCAUUUGGGUAGUAGGGGAAGAUAAGCCCCUAGGACCAAAAUCCAUAGGAGCCCUCCUUGAUGAAGAAUUCAUGCUUGGACCUCUGGCGAGCCUACUAGCUUGUGCUUGCCGUUCUUGAGCAGCAUCUCUGUGCACUUCCUCGAUCUUUUUCGGCCCUUCAACUUUCCUCGUCUGCUGCCAUUUAUUCUUUCUCAACUCAAUUGAAUCCUUCAAC
rnacentral:lncRNA from 1 species